rnacentral:misc_RNA from 1 species
UACUCUCACACUCCCAAUGCUUUUGGAUUGGGAGCGGUGGACUUGGGUGUUGCUGCUUUACUGUGGCUCGCCUCAAAUGAAGUAGUGCAACUUGCGGUUGGACAUAGUACGGCGUGAUAAGUAUCUUCGCCGGCGCCUCACUAGAGGGUGGCCGAUCGGGAGCUCUGUGCUUCCAACCGUCUUCGGACAAUCUCUGACA